GACGAACGCUGGCGGCGUGCUUAAUACAUGCAAGUCGAACGCUGAAGCCCUUUCGGGGGUGGAUGAGUGGCGAACGGGUGAGUAACACGUGGGUAAUCUGCCCUGUACUUCGGGAUAAGCCUUGGAAACGGGGUCUAAUACCGGAUAGGACCUGUCCUCGCAUGGGGGUGGGUGGAAAGUUCCGGCGGUAUGGGAUGAGCCCGCGGCCUAUCAGCUUGUUGGUGGGGUAGUGGCCUACCAAGGCGACGACGGGUAGCCGGCCUGAGAGGGUGACCGGUCACACUGGGACUGAGACGCGGCCCAGACUCCUACGGGAGGCAGCAGUGGGGAAUCUUGCGCAGUGGGCGAAAGCCUGACGCAGCAACGCCGCGUGGGGGAUGACGGCCUUCGGGUUGUAAACCUCUUUCGACAUCGACGAAGGGGCCCUGUUGUGGGGUUUUGACGGUAGGUGUAGAAGAAGCACCGGCUAACUACGUGCCAGCAGCCGCGGUAA
rnacentral:rRNA from 1 species